rfam:Schistosoma mansoni strain Puerto Rico chromosome 2, complete genome
AUCCAGAUGAUGAGUCCCGAAUGGAACGAAACGUGCGUCUUGGAU